rnacentral:rRNA from 1 species
CAUGGGCAGGUUGAAGGUUGGGUAACACUAACUGGAGGACCGAACCGACUAAUGUUGAAAAAUUAGCGGAUGACUUGUGGCUGGGGGUGAAAGGCCAAUCAAACCGGGAGAUAGCUGGUUCUCCCCGAAAGCUAUUUAGGUAGCGCCUCGUGAACUCAUCUCCGGGGGUAGAGCACUGUUUCGGCAAGGGGGUCAUCCCGACUUACCAACCCGAUGCAAACUGCGAAUACCGGAGAAUGUUAUCACGGGAGACACACGGCGGGUGCUAACGUCCGUCGUGAAGAGGGAAACAACCCAGACCGCCAGCUAAGGUCCCAAAGUCAUGGUUAAGUGGGAAACGAUGUGGGAAGGCCCAGACAGCCAGGAUGUUGGCUUAGAAGCAGCCAUCAUUUAAAGAAAGCGUAAUAGCUCACUGGUCGAGUCGGCCUGCGCGGAAGAUGUAACGGGGCUAAACCAUGCACCGAAGCUGCGGCAGCGACGCUUAUGCGUUGUUGGGUAGGGGAGCGUUCUGUAAGCCUGCGAAGGUGUACUGUGAGGUAUGCUGGAGGUAUCAGAAGUGCGAAUGCUGACAUAAGUAACGAUAAAGCGGGUGAAAAGCCCGCUCGCCGGAAGACCAAGGGUUCCUGUCCAACGUUAAUCGGGGCAGGGUGAGUCGACCCCUAAGGCGAGGCCGAAAGGCGUAGUCGAUGGGAAACAGGUUAAUAUUCCUGUACUUGGUGUUACUGCGAAGGGGGGACGGAGAAGGCUAUGUUGGCCGGGCGACGGUUGUCCCGGUUUAAGCGUGUAGGCUGGUUUUCCAGGCAAAUCCGGAAAAUCAAGGCUGAGGCGUGAUGACGAGGCACUACGGUGCUGAAGCAACAAAUGCCCUGCUUCCAGGAAAAGCCUCUAAGCAUCAGGUAACAUCAAAUCGUACCCCAAACCGACACAGGUGGUCAGGUAGAGAAUACCAAGGCGCUUGAGAGAACUCGGGUGAAGGAACUAGGCAAAAUGGUGCCGUAACUUCGGGAGAAGGCACGCUGAUAUGUAGGUGAAGCGACUUGCUCGUGGAGCUGAAAUCAGUCGAAGAUACCAGCUGGCUGCAACUGUUUAUUAAAAACACAGCACUGUGCAAACACGAAAGUGGACGUAUACGGUGUGACGCCUGCCCGGUGCCGGAAGGUUAAUUGAUGGGGUUAGCGGUAACGCGAAGCUCUUGAUCGAAGCCCCGGUAAACGGCGGCCGUAACUAUAACGGUCCUAAGGUAGCGAAAUUCCUUGUCGGGUAAGUUCCGACCUGCACGAAUGGCGUAAUGAUGGCCAGGCUGUCUCCACCCGAGACUCAGUGAAAUUGAACUCGCUGUGAAGAUGCAGUGUACCCGCGGCAAGACGGAAAGACCCCGUGAACCUUUACUAUAGCUUGACACUGAACAUUGAGCCUUGAUGUGUAGGAUAGGUGGGAGGCUUUGAAGUGUGGACGCCAGUCUGCAUGGAGCCGACCUUGAAAUACCACCCUUUAAUGUUUGAUGUUCUAACGUUGGCCCCUGAUCGGGGUUGCGGACAGUGUCUGGUGGGUAGUUUGACUGGGGCGGUCUCCUCCUAAAGAGUAACGGAGGAGCACGAAGGUUGGCUAAUCCUGGUCGGACAUCAGGAGGUUAGUGCAAUGGCAUAAGCCAGCUUGACUGCGAGCGUGACGGCGCGAGCAGGUGCGAAAGCAGGUCAUAGUGAUCCGGUGGUUCUGAAUGGAAGGGCCAUCGCUCAACGGAUAAAAGGUACUCCGGGGAUAACAGGCUGAUACCGCCCAAGAGUUCAUAUCGACGGCGGUGUUUGGCACCUCGAUGUCGGCUCAUCACAUCCUGGGGCUGAAGUAGGUCCCAAGGGUAUGGCUGUUCGCCAUUUAAAGUGGUACGCGAGCUGGGUUUAGAACGUCGUGAGACAGUUCGGUCCCUAUCUGCCGUGGGCGCUGGAGAACUGAGGGGGGCUGCUCCUAGUACGAGAGGACCGGAGUGGACGCAUCACUGGUGUUCGGGUUGUCAUGCCAAUGGCACUGCCCGGUAGCUAAAUGCGGAAGAGAUAAGUGCUGAAAGCAUCUAAGCACGAAACUUGCCCCGAGAUGAGUUCUCCCUGACCCUUUAAGGGUCCUGAAGGAACGUUGAAGACGACGACGUUGAUAGGCCGGGUGUGUAAGCGCAGCGAUGCGUUGAGCUAACCGGUACUAAUGAACCGUGAG